CGUCAAUACCCAACCUGUAAAUGACAGUCACCUCGGGAUCUUAUUUGACUGGGAUCUUAAAAAGGUUCCCUGCUGAACUUGGCUGAGGUCAGUGUCUGGUCAAAUGGAGUCGGGCCUGUGCGUCUGUGGGGGUGCAGAUGAAGUGGUCAGCGGU
rnacentral:lncRNA from 1 species